GAUGAAGAACGUAGCGAAAUGCGAUAAGUAGUGUGAAUUGCAGAAUUCAGUGAAUCAUCGAAUCUUUGAACGCACAUUGCGCCCUUUGGUAUUCCUUAGGGCAUGCCUGUUCGAGCGUCAUUUAAACCUUCAAGCUCAGCUUGGUGUUGGGUGACUGUCCGCCGCCUCCGGGCGGUCGGACUCGCCUCAAAUUGAUUGGCGGCCGGUACUUUGGCUUCGAGCGCAGCAGAAACGCGAACUCGAGGCCGUCGUCCUGGCUCCCAGAAGCUAUCUUCACAAUUUUGACCUCGGAUCAGGUAGGGAUACCCGCUGAACUUAAGCAUAUCAUAAGCGGAGGA
rnacentral:misc_RNA from 1 species